CCUACGGGGGGCAGCAGUGGGGAAUAUUGGACAAUGGGGGGAACCCUGAUCCAGCCAUGCCGCGUGUGUGAAGAAGGCCCUCGGGUUGUAAAGCACUUUCAGUGAGGAAGAACGCCUGGUGGUUAAUACCCAUCAGGAAAGACAUCACUCACAGAAGAAGCACCGGCUAACUCCGUGCCAGCAGCCGCGGUAAUACAGAGGGUGCGAGCGUUAAUCGGAAUUACUGGGCGUAAAGCGCGCGUAGGUGGCUUGAUAAGCCGGUUGUGAAAGCCCCGGGCUCAACCUGGGAACGGCAUCCGGAACUGUCAAGCUAGAGUGCAGGAGAGGAAGGUAGAAUUCCCGGUGUAGCGGUGAAAUGCGUAGAGAUCGGGAGGAAUACCAGUGGCGAAGGCGGCCUUCUGGACUGACACUGACACUGAGGUGCGAAAGCGUGGGUAGCAAACAGGAUUAGAUACCCCGGUAGUC
rnacentral:rRNA from 1 species